rnacentral:rRNA from 1 species
AGCGAACGCUGGCGGCAGGCCUAACACAUGCAAGUCGAACGGAUCCUUCGGGAUUAGUGGCGGACGGGUGAGUAACACGUGGGAACGUGCCCUUUGGUUCGGAACCACUCAGGGAAACUUGAGCUAAUACCGGAUGUGCCCUUCGGGGGAAAGAUUUAUCGCCAUUGGAGCGGCCCGCGUCUGAGUUAGCUAGUUGGUGGGGUAAAGGCCCACCAAGGCGAGGAUCAGUAGCUGGUCUGAGAGGAUGAUCAGCCACAUUGGGGCUGAGACACGGCCCGAUCUCCUCGGGGAGGCAGCAGUGGGGAGUCUGGCUCAAUGGGCGAAAGCCUGCCGCAGCCAUGCCGCGUGAAUGAUGAAGGUCUUAGGAUUGUAAAAUUCUUUCACGGGGGACGAUAAUGACGGUACCCGGAGAAGAAGCCCCGGCUAACUUCGUGCCAGCCGCCGCCGUAA